UACAGAGGUGGCAAGCGUUGUUCGGAAUUACUGGGCGUAAAGGGCGAGUAGGUGGCCAUCUAAGUCAGACGUGAAAUCCCCCGGCUUAACCUGGGAACUGCGUCUGAUACUGGACGGCUUGAGUAUGGGAGAGGAACGUAGAAUUCCAGGUGUAGCGGUGAAAUGCGUAGAUAUCUGGAGGAAUACCGGUGGCGAAGGCGGCGUUCUGGACCAUUACUGACGCUGAGGCACGAAAGCGUGGGUAGCAAACAGG
rnacentral:rRNA from 1 species